rnacentral:rRNA from 1 species
AGAAUCAACGCUGGCGGCGUGCCUAACACAUGCAAGUCGAACGAGAAAGUGGAGCAAUCCAUGAGUACAGUGGCGACCGGGUGAGUAACACGUGACCAAGUCUACCUUCGAGUGGGGGAUAACUCCGGGAAACCGGGGCUAAUACCGCAUAACAUCUUUGGAAUGCAAAUUCCGUUGAUCAAAGGAGCAAUUCGCUUGAAGAGGAGGUCGCGGCUGAUUAGCUAGUUGGCGGGGUAAUGGCCCACCAAGGCGAAGAUCGGUA